rnacentral:rRNA from 1 species
AUUGAACGCUGGCGGCAGGCCUAACACAUGCAAGUCGAACGAGCGGCGGACGGGUGAGUAAUGUCUGAGUAACUGCCCGAUGGAGGGGGAUAACUACUGGAAACGGUAGCUAAUACCGCAUACUAUCGGAUGUGCCCAGAUGGGCUUAGCUAGUAGGUGGGGUAACGCCUCACCUAGGCGACGAUGCCUAGCUGUCAUGAGAGGAUGACCAGCCACACUGGGACUGAGACACGGACCAGACUCCUUCGGGAGGCAGCAGUGGGGAAUAUUGAACAAUGGGCGCAAGCCUGAUGCAGCCAUGCCGCGUGUAUGAAGAAGGCCUUCGGGUUGUAAAGUACUUUCAGCGGGGAGGCGUUACCCGCAGAAGAAGCACCGGCUAACUCCGUGCCAGCAGCCGCGGUAAUUC